AGUUAAAUAUUCAUGAGAAUACUGUGUUUUGAAAGCACAUAAAAGGGGUUUAAAUCCCCUAUUAACUU
rnacentral:tRNA from 1 species